rnacentral:rRNA from 1 species
CUCCUAAAAGGUAACGGAGGCGCUCAAAGGUUCCCUCAGAAUGGUUGGAAAUCAUUCAUAGAGUGUAAAGGCAUAAGGGAGCUUGACUGCGAGACCUACAAGUCGAGCAGGGUCGAAAGACGGACUUAGUGAUCCGGUGGUUCCGCAUGGAAGGGCCAUCGCUCAACGGAUAAAAGCUACCCCGGGGAUAACAGGCUUAUCUCCCCCAAGAGUUCACAUCGACGGGGAGGUUUGGCACCUCGAUGUCGGCUCAUCGCAUCCUGGGGCUGUAGUCGGUCCCAAGGGUUGGGCUGUUCGCCCAUUAAAGCGGUACGCGAGCUGGGUUCAGAACGUCGUGAGACAGUUCGGUCCCUAUCCGUCGUGGGCGUAGGAAAUUUGAGAGGAGCUGUCCUUAGUACGAGAGGACCGGGAUGGACAUACCUCUGGUGUACCAGUUGUCGUGCCAACGGCAUAGCUGGGUAGCUAUGUGUGGACGGGAUAAGUGCUGAAAGCAUCUAAGCAUGAAGCCCCCC